rnacentral:lncRNA from 1 species
GGAUAUUAACAAGUUUUGACAGUUCUAAGUUGCUUCAGUUUUUAUUUAUGAAAGCACAACGUACACGCUAAACGAACAAUGAUACUUCAAAGACAUCAACAUGCUAGCUCACAUCUGCAAAUCAAACAUACAGGUACACAUAACUUAGCUUUGUCAUGAGAGAUAUCAACAAGGCACCAAACUUAUUUAUUAGGCAUCAUCAACAAGCUCACAUCUGCACAUAAUAUGUAAGUACAUAACACAGCUUAUUAUAAGAGAUCUCCCGACGGCACCAAUUUAUUCGGCAUGCUACUGUGAUGUUCGGUUGCAGGUUCAUUGC